UACGGGGGGGCAAGCGUUAGUUCGGAAUUACUGGGCGUAAAGGGCGCGUAGGCGGCCUACUAAGUCGGACGUGAAAUCCCUCGGCUCAACCGGGGGAACUGCGUCCGAUACUGGUGGGCUUGAUCCGGGAGAGGGAUGUGGAAUUCCAGGUGUGAGCGGUGAAAUGCGUAGAUAUCUGGAGGAACACCGGGUGGCGAAGGCGGCAUCCUGGGACC
rnacentral:rRNA from 1 species